rnacentral:sRNA from 1 species
GCCAGGCACAGUGGUGCAUGCCUGUAUUCCCAGCGGCUUGGGAGGCUGAGGCAGGAGGAUUGUGAGUUUAAAGCCAGCCUCAACAACUGCGAGAUGCUAAGCAACUCAGUGAGACCCUGUCUCUA